rnacentral:rRNA from 1 species
GCAGUAGCCGCGGUAAUACGUAGGUGGCAAGCGUUGUCCGGAAUUAUUGGGCGUAAAGGGCUCGCAGGCGGUUUCUUAAGUCUGAUGUGAAAGCCCCCGGCUCAACCGGGGAGGGUCAUUGGAAACUGGGAAACUUGAGUGCAGAAGAGGAGAGUGGAAUUCCACGUGUAGCGGUGAAAUGCGUAGAGAUGUGGAGGAACACCAGUGGCGAAGGCGACUCUCUGGUCUGUAACUGACGCUGAGGAGCGAAAGCGUGGGGAGCGAACAGGAUUAGAGACCCCAGUAGUCCCUGUCUCUUAUAC